rnacentral:rRNA from 1 species
GACGAACCGUGCGAACGUUGUUCGGAAUCAUUGGGCGUAAAGGGCGUGUAGGCGGUUUGUUAAGUCAUGUGUGAAAUCCCUCGGCUCAACCGGGGAACGACGCAUGAAACUGGCAAGCUAGAGUACCAAAGAGGGGGGUGGAAUUCCCGGUGUAGCGGUGGAAAUGCGUAGAUAUCGGGAGGAACACCGAUGGCGAAGGCAGGUCUCUGGGCAUGAUCUGACGCUGGAGGCGCGAAGGCUAGGGGGAGCGAACGGG